rnacentral:rRNA from 1 species
UUGAACGCUGGCGGCAUGCCUUACACAUGCAAGUCGAACGGCAGCACGGGUGCUUGCACCUGGUGGCGAGUGGCGAACGGGUGAGUAAUACAUCGGAACAUGUCCUGUAGUGGGGGAUAGCCCGGCGAAAGCCGGAUUAAUACCGCAUACGAUCUACGGAUGAAAGCGGGGGACCUUCGGGCCUCGCGCUAUAGGGUUGGCCGAUGGCUGAUUAGCUAGUUGGUGGGGUAAAGGCCUACCAAGGCGACGAUCAGUAGCUGGUCUGAGAGGACGACCAGCCACACUGGGACUGAGACACGGCCCAGACUCCUACGGGAGGCAGCAGUGGGGAAUUUUGGACAAUGGGCGAAAGCCUGAUCCAGCAAUGCCGCGUGUGUGAAGAAGGCCUUCGGGUUGUAAAGCACUUUUGUCCGGAAAGAAAUCCUUGGCUCUAAUACAGUCGGGGGAUGACGGUACCGGAAGAAUAAGCACCGGCUAACUACGUGCCAGCAGCCGCGGUAAUACGUAGGGUGCGAGCGUUAAUCGGAAUUACUGGGCGUAAAGCGUGCGCAGGCGGUUUGCUAAGACCGAUGUGAAAUCCCCGGGCUCAACCUGGGAACUGCAUUGGUGACUGGCAGGCUAGAGUAUGGCAGAGGGGGGUAGAAUUCCACGUGUAGCAGUGAAAUGCGUAGAGAUGUGGAGGAAUACCGAUGGCGAAGGCAGCUCCCUGGGCCAAUACUGACGCUCAUGCACGAAAGCGUGGGGAGCAAACAGGAUUAGAUACCCUGGUAGUCCACGCCCUAAACGAUGUCAACUAGUUGUUGGGGAUUCAUUUCCUUAGUAACGUAGCUAACGCGUGAAGUUGACCGCCUGGGGAGUACGGUCGCAAGAUUAAAACUCAAAGGAAUUGACGGGGACCCGCACAAGCGGUGGAUGAUGUGGAUUAAUUCGAUGCAACGCGAAAAACCUUACCUACCCUUGACAUGGUCGGAAUCCUGCUGAGAGGCGGGAGUGCUCGAAAGAGAACCGGCGCACAGGUGCUGCAUGGCUGUCGUCAGCUCGUGUCGUGAGAUGUUGGGUUAAGUCCCGCAACGAGCGCAACCCUUGUCCUUAGUUGCUACGCAAGAGCACUCUAAGGAGACUGCCGGUGACAAACCGGAGGAAGGUGGGGAUGACGUCAAGUCCUCAUGGCCCUUAUGGGUAGGGCUUCACACGUCAUACAAUGGUCGGAACAGAGGGUUGCCAACCCGCGAGGGGGAGCUAAUCCCAGAAAACCGAUCGUAGUCCGGAUUGCACUCUGCAACUCGAGUGCAUGAAGCUGGAAUCGCUAGUAAUCGCGGAUCAGCAUGCCACGGUGAAUACGUUCCCGGGUCUUGUACACACCGC